AUUCAACUGACAAGUCCCAAAUAGGACGAAACGCGCGUUCAACUGAAU
rfam:Schistosoma rodhaini strain Burundi genome assembly, scaffold: SROB_scaffold0009151